rnacentral:rRNA from 1 species
AGGAUGAACGCUGGCGGCGUGCCUAAUACAUGCAAGUCGAACGAGGUGCUUGAGUAGCAAUACAAGAGUAUCCUAGUGGCGAACGGGUGAGUAACACGUUGGUGACCUACCCCAAAGUGUGGGAUAACAGUCCGAAAGGAUUGCUAAUACCGCAUGUGAUCAUCGGAUUUAGAAACUGAUGAUUAAAGGAGCAAUUCGCUUUGGGAGGGACCUGCGUCCCAUCAGCUAGUUGGUGAGGUAAUGGCUCACCAAGGCGACGAC